rnacentral:rRNA from 1 species
AAUUGGAGGGCAAGUCUGGUGCCAGCAGCCGCGGUAAUUCCAGCUCCAAUAGCGUAUAUUAAAGUUGUUGCAGUUAAAAAGCUCGUAGUUGAAUUUCGGGGUUAGUAGGCUGGUCAUGCCUCUGGUAUGUACUGGUCUUACUGACUUCUCCUUUCUGAAGAACUGUAAUGCCAUUAAUUUGGUGUUGCAGGGAAUCAGGACUGUUACUUUGAAAAAAUUAGAGUGUUUAAAGCAGGCUCGCGCUUGAAUACAUUAGCAUGGAAUAAUGAAAUAGGACGUUCGAUCCUAUUUUGUUGGUUUCUAGGAUUGACGUAAUGAUUAAUAGGGAUAGUUGGGGGCAUUAGUAUUCAAUUGUCAGAGGUGAAAUUCUUGGAUUUAUUGAAGACUAACUACUGCGAAAGCAUUUGCCAAGGAUGUUUUCAUUAAUCAAGAACGAAAGUUAGGGGAUCGAAGACGAUCAGAUACCGUCGUAGUCUUAACCAUAAACUAUGCCGACUAGGGAUCGGAUGAUGUUAAUUUUUUAAUGACUCAUUCGGCGCCUUACGGGAAACCAAAGUGU